AGAUUGAACGCUGGCGGCAGGCCUAACACAUGCAAGUCGAGCGGUAGAGAGGUGCUUGCACCUCUUGAGAGCGGCGGACGGGUGAGUAAUGCCUAGGAAUCUGCCUAGUGGUGGGGGAUAACGUUCGGAAACGGACGCUAAUACCGCAUACGUCCUACGGGAGAAAGCGGGGGACCUUCGGGCCUCGCGCCAUUAGAUGAGCCUAGGUCGGAUUAGCUAGUUGGUGAGGUAAUGGCUCACCAAGGCGACGAUCCGUAACUGGUCU
rnacentral:rRNA from 1 species